AGCUUGCGCUGACCCGGGAGCCCACCUGCCCGCCGUGAAUAAAUCCACGAGUAAAAAUCUUGGGCUUUCAACGCCGCCCGCCAGGCAGCACUAAUGGCGUCUUUGUAGCCCUGAGAUGGUUUAUUUUGGACCUGUGUUGUAAACUAAUUUCUUUCUCCUUUUGUUCCUGGCUGGAGAACCUGUGUGAUCUCUGGACCUAGCUCAUCAUUUUACCUUCUCUGGGACUAUUGGAGGGCCAUGUUACCAGACUACCAGCUUUCCAUAGUGGACAAAUAACGAACGCCGAAAAACAGUGAAAUCAUCAAGGCUGAGGCUCAUCCCUCAGAAGGAUACUGGGAGGAACGUGAAUGUCAGAGAACAGCAUGACAAGCCAUAACAAUCACAAGACCAAAUGUGUAGCCUCUGUGAUGCAAAUUAUAUUUAACCAGCUCUGGGGACUGAAUAUGGAUUGGUGCUUUGCAAAAAGACCUGAAGAGAGCUGAGGUCUGUGGUAGUCUUGAAAGACGUUGACAUUUGUCUUCUCUUACUAAGAAAGAGGUUGCUACCAUUCUGGAUAGCAGUAUUGUUCCAAGUAUGUGGUAAGGUUUUUUUGAUUAUUUAUGAAAAGGAUACAUUGAGGAUGAAGUAAUAACCUAUGCUGGGAAUGAACUAGCAACUACUGUAAUCACUGAACAAUUUUAAUCGUCCCUUUCACAACCAUCAGAUGUGUUUUAUAAUUUUUCAAAUUCAUAUUUGAUAUUCUAUCUUUUUUUUACAAUGCCUGUGAUGCUAGCCAGUAUUCUCCUGUUGCAGUGGGCUUGGACCCUAGCAGGCUGUAAUUGUGGUCAAGAUUAGACAACCCAUGUUAGACACAGAGCACCUAAAUAAACACAGACCUAAGCUGCAAACACUAGAACAGAUCAGUGAAGAAUCAAUCAAGAAUUUUCUUGACCAAGUUUUUUAAAGGAUAAACUGCUAGAUAUAUAUUAUCUAUGCUGUAAGCAAAAUCUAAUUUCUGUUUUGCACAGACUGUUUUGUGAUAUCUCAGAAGAAGAAAGUCCUCAGCUCUAACUCCUGGUGCACAGCUGGACUCAAACUUCCUUAAAAGCGAAUGUGAGAUCUUUGUUUCAGCUUUGACCAGCAGAUGGGUCUGAGUUUACAAAGUUAAGUCAGUUUGGAUUCCAUAUUGUUAUUUGGUUUCAUUACUCUAUUGCUAAUUAUAAUCAAUUAUAAAUAGGAGCUUUCUAGGACUUGAUUUAGAUCUACAGGUUUGGGGGUUUCUUUCCACAUUGUUUUUCUUAGUGGUAAAAGCAUGCUAGUUUUUCUCAUUCCACUUCUUCACUGAAGCUUCUUAAGAAAAUGAGAUACAAUAAAUCCAUUUAGGAUUAUGUUGAAAAAGCAUUUCUGCUUUUAAUAUUAACCAGAUUUUUACUGCUAAGUUUUGCUGGCAAAUCUCUGAAAGUUUCAGCUUGCAACUUAUCCGGAUCACUUAAAUCUACAACACUGGCUUUGCAGCCUUGCAAGAACAUCUGUUUUGAUUUCCAGUGCUAUCUUUUUUAGUCCUAGAACACUAUUCUUUAGUGUGAGAUUUUUUCAGAAUCUUAAAGGGCCUUAGUUUUAACUCCAAAACAUAAUGAAUAUCAGGAGGCAGUACCUCAGUGUAAUGUUUCUUGUGCUAGUACUUUCACUGAAUAUAUUGUGUAAAUGGACAAAGAAAUAGCUGGAUGUUCAAGUCACACUUUUCUAUGGCUUUAGUGAAACCUGGCAAUACAGUAGCAUUAUGCACUACAUCUCUUAUUGUACUCUUAUUGAAGCAUAGUUUAUGUUUAUAUAUCUUUAUAUAUAUAUCUUUAUAUGUUGUAAAGAAUUACUUAAACAAGUAGUGGCUAUUAAUGGGUCUAGUAGCAUGCUGCUGCUUUUCUUUGGUGGUAAAUGGAAGCAUUUGGUGGGGAAGUACUGGUCUGAAACUGAAUUUAUAAAAAUUGUUCAAAAUUAAAUGCCUGAAAAAAGCCGAUGUAUUGCAACCAAUGACUAUCAUGUAGAGAAAGGACUAGUUAGAUAUCUGUUCCUUAAAUUGAUUCUGCUUUAUAAAUACAAGAAUUAAUAAUGGUGUUGUGUACAUCUGCAAAUGGAAACCAAAACAGGUUAUGAUUUGAUAGCUCUGGUUAUCACUAGAACUUGGAACAAGUGCUCCAACUAGAAAACCACUCAUUAACUGCUAACUUGUGCUCUCACAAGCUUCAUAGCUUAGCAGAAAAAAAAUUGAUUACCUGACAUUCAAGAUCAGUUCCAAAUAACUAUUCCUUAAAUAUGCUAUUUUAUACUUCAAAUAAUCUGUAUACAUUAAUUUCUUAAUUUCUUAGUCCAUGUAUGUACAGAUGAUGUCACCCUAUUGGCUAAAGCCUUUAUCCUAUGAUAGAUAUCUCUUGUAUAUUAACACAGAUACCAUACUAUUGUUAAUAGGAUUGUAUUCCAACCUUCUAUCAAAUUGUUUGCCAAAAUAAAUCUGUCAUUUUUUCUAUACACAUUCUCACCUAAAAAAAUAAUGGUGUUUUUAUUCUGUACUUUAUACCAGACUGAUAUGUAGUGCCCUAAAUCUCAAAGGUAUUUAUGGGUAAAAAGCAAGUUAAUAUAUGCAUAGUUUUACUCGUACAUUU